GCUUUACUGUAACCUGGAAUGGUGUCCGGGCUGAACUUGCGCAGGAUAGGUGGGAGGCACUGAGAUAUUCCUUGUGGGGGAUAUGGAGCCAACGGUGAGAUACCACUCUAGUUCAGCUAGGAUUCUAACCCGCGACCGUUAUCCGGUCGGGAGACAGUUUCAGGCGGGCAGUUUGACUGGGGCGGUCGCCUCCUAAAAGAUAACGGAGGCGCGCAAAGGUUCCCUCAGCACGCUUGGAAACCGUGCGACGAGUGUAAAGGCAUAAAGGGAGCUUGACUGUAACACAAACUUGUGGAGCAGGUACGAAAGUAGGCCUUAGUGAUCCGACGGCACAGCGUGGAAUGGCCGUCGCUCAACGGAUAAAAGUUA
rnacentral:rRNA from 1 species